GGGGGUGUAUAGGUUUCGACUUGAAAAUGAAGCGUUAAUUGCAUGCGGAGGGCGUUGGCUGGCCUCCUAAAAAGCCGACAAAACAAUAAAUGCCGAACCUAAGGCUGAAUGCGAAAUUAUCAGUUUCUCUGAUCUCCUCGUUGAAGAAAGAGUUGCUGCUUAAUUAGCAAAAGUUGUUACCUUGAAUAGUCUCUAGGUAGCCCGGUGCUCACAAGCUCCACCAGAGGUUUGUGAAGCGCCGUCAUUUAUCUGGUUGGAACCAGCUUUCUCUCAUUCUCAAGAAAGCGUGUUCGAGAUUUUUGAGAGUCGUUAGGUAUUCAUAGAUGCUCUUAUCUAAGGUAACUAAUGUAAUAAAACUAAGAGAUAAGCAUGUAGACGUUAACAGGGAGUUUAUCAAGGACGAGAGUUCGAGUCUCUCCACCUCCACCA
rnacentral:tmRNA from 1 species